rnacentral:rRNA from 1 species
GUGGACGCCAGUCUGCAUGGAGCCGACCUUGAAAUACCACCCUUUAAUGUUUGAUGUUCUAACGUGGACCCGUAAUCCGGGUUGCGGACAGUGUCUGGUGGGUAGUUUGACUGGGGCGGUCUCCUCCUAAAGAGUAACGGAGGAGCACGAAGGUUGGCUAAUCCUGGUCGGACAUCAGGAGGUUAGUGCAAUGGCAUAAGCCAGCUUGACUGCGAGCGUGACGGCGCGAGCAGGUGCGAAAGCAGGUCAUAGUGAUCCGGUGGUUCUGAAUGGAAGGGCCAUCGCUCAACGGAUAAAAGGUACUCCGGGGAUAACAGGCUGAUACCGCCCAAGAGUUCAUAUCGACGGCGGUGUUUGGCACCUCGAUGUCGGCUCAUCACAUCCUGGGGCUGAAGUAGGUCCCAAGGGUAUGGCUGUUCGCCAUUUAAAGUGGUACGCGAGCUGGGUUUAGAACGUCGUGAGACAGUUCGGUCCCUAUCUGCCGUGGGCGCUGGAGAACUGAGGGGGGCUGCUCCUAGUACGAGAGGACCGGAGUGGACGCAUCACUGGUGUUCGGGUUGUCAUGCCAAUGGCACUGCCCGGUAGCUAAAUGCGGAAGAGAUAAGUGCUGAAAGCAUCUAAGCACGAAACUUGCCCCGAGAUGAGUUCUCCCUGAGACUUAGAGUCUCCUGAAGGAACGUUGAAGACGACGACGUUGAUAGGCCGGGUGUGUAAGCGCAGCGAUGCGUUGAGCUA